AUGAGGUAGUAGACAAGAGGAAGUGGGUCUGAAGACCUGAGCUUCCACAAAACGACGAACAAUUCAGAACAACCUGGGAAGCCCAGGCCGUGUUGCCUGAACUUCCCCAACUGCCCCCACCCCUGUUAAAUCAGAGCCAACAGCCACCUGAACUGACAGAGAAGCCACCUCUGGGGAGGGAGCUGAGAGGCUGUGGCAGUUACAGUACCCCCAGCCUCGCCCACCCAGAGGCUGUCAUUGCAUGCUCUGUCACAGACAACCCACCCAACAGUUUUCUGGCUGAGACCACUUCUCCCCACUCCUCCCUAACAUCUAAAAAAGUCCAGUCCAAAUCCCUCUGAACACUAUGGAAGGACACCUUCCAGGAGCCUGAAGACACAAAACAGGGCUCAGACUUGUCUGUCAUCCUCCUUCGGCCACCAGCACAACUCGAUCCCACCACUCCCUACAAACACGGUGACGUGACCCGUCCCCCUUUAGAAAGAAUCAAUACAUCCACUCCAUCCUUUCCCCUACACGGUGUAUUCCCCAGGCACCUUGGUCCAACUCUAAGGAGCUGUCCUCCCUAACUACAGACUCAGGGUGCCAUGGCCCUCCCCAGGUGUGAUGUCUUUGGGGACAUCUAGUGCUCCGUCCCUCCCUCAACGUCAGCCCUACCAACUGUCUCCUGGGGCAGUGUGAAAUUUGAAUUCCCAAGGAUUUGAAACAUGGCAGAGACUUGGUUAAUGCCCCUUUCCCUACAGACUCACCUCCAUUUGAAGCCAUCCCCUCAGGCUGGCUGCUGAUCACCGCUGCCUGACAGUUUCCACAAUGAGAAGAGUCAAGGGCAGGACCCAGAGAGUGACCUGCCUCAACAGAUUCUCCUGAGUUCAGACUGGAGUGCAAUGGCGUAGCCUUGGCUCGCUGCAACCUCUGCCUCCCAGGUUUAAGUGGUUCUCCUGCCUCAGCCUCCCAAGUAACUGGGUCACAGGAAUAUACCACCAGACCUGGAUAAUUUUUGUAUUUUUAGUAGAGAUGGGAUUUCACCGUGUUAGCCAGGCUGGUCUUGAACUUCUGGCCUCAUGUGAUUUGCCCAUAGUGUCCCAAAGUACUGGGAUUACAGGCAUGAGCCAUGCCCAGCCACAGUUUGAUUUUAAAUACCAAUAACCUUGAUAUUUUUGCAGACUUACUCGUUUAUUAAUUUUCUCUCUGGGAUUUGAAACUUUUUUUUUUUUUUUUAA